UACGGAGGAUCCAAGCGUUAUCCGGAUUUAUUGGGUUUAAAGGGUGCGUAGGCGGGUUUGUAAGUCAGUGGUGAAAAGGAGAUGCUUAACAUUUCUCGUGCCAUUGAUACUGCAGAUCUUGAAUAUGAAUGAAGUAGGCGGAAUGCGCAGUGUAGCGGUGAAAUGCAUAGAUAUUGCGCAGAAGGUCGAUUGCGAAGGCAGCUUGCUAAUUCAUUAUUGACGCUGAUGCACGAAAGCGUGGGGAUCAAACAGG
rnacentral:rRNA from 1 species